UACGAAGGGGGCUAGCGUUGUUCGGAAUCACUGGGCGUAAAGCGCACGUAGGCGGAUCUUUAAGUCAGGGGUGAAAUCCCGAGGCUCAACCUCGGAACUGCCUUUGAUACUGGGGAUCUCGAGUCCGGGAGAGGUGAGUGGAACUGCGAGUGUAGAGGUGAAAUUCGUAGAUAUUCGCAAGAACACCAGUGGCGAAGGCGGCUCACUGGCCCGAUACUGACGCUGAGGUGCGAAAGCGUGGGGAGCAACAGGG
rnacentral:rRNA from 1 species